AUGAGGCUGUAUCACUGUGAUGCUUUGACGUUUGGAAACGGCAUCAGGCUCAACGUGCUGCCGAGCGAAACAUUCAAAGCUCCGGUUCUGUUUGUGUUGAGUCCUCUGUCUCCUGGUCCUGACGUUUGUUUGGCCACUGACUUCCGUCCAAAACUGGGCAAGAUGGUUCUGAGCAUAAACAAUGGACCUGCGGUGAUUCUGAGCACUGAAUCGGCCGUCUUGUCCUCGAGGAGCAAAUCCUACUUCUUUGCUGGAUUCACAAAUGAGAAGAUAGACUCGUGUCGACUGAACAACACCGAAGAGAAAACUGGAGAGAAAAACCAGCCGGUACCGUGUCCGACUGUGGAACCCACACAACCAGAACCUAAUGCAACGGACACAGAACCAGACCACAACGCAGAACGGAGCAGGCUCAACUUCUUCCUGCUGCUGAUGAACGGAGUGCGACUUGUGUUCACUAAGACUCUGGCCUUCAACACCAUCCUGACCAUCAGAGCCGUGAUGUUCUAACCCGCUGUAUGCUUCACUCAGUGUUUGGGUCCAAACUCGCCAAUAAGAGCAACAAAGUCCACAACGAUCGACUUCAUAAAGACGAGUCCUUGAUUCAUUGUCUGUGUGUUUUGUUCUGUGAAAUUUCUGCUGAAAUAAAUGAUUCUGUCUGUAAAGAGUUUCUGUCUCA
rnacentral:lncRNA from 1 species